rnacentral:misc_RNA from 1 species
GAUGAAGAACGUAGCGAAAUGCGAUAAGUAAUGUGAAUUGCAGAAUUCAGUGAAUCAUCGAAUCUUUGAACGCACAUUGCGCCCGCCAGUAUUCUGGCGGGCAUGCCUGUUCGAGCGUCAAUACAACCCUCAGGCCCCCGGGCCUGGCGUUGGGGAUCGGCGGAGCCCCCCGUGGGCACACGCCGUCCCCCAAAUACAGUGGCGGUCCCGCCGCAGCUUCCAUCGCGUAGUAGCUAACACCCCGCGACUGGAGAGCGGCGCGGCCACGCCGUAAAACACCCAACUCUUCUGAAGUUGACCUCGAAUCAGGUAGGAAUACCCGCUGAACUUAAGCAUAUCAAUAAGCGGAGGA